CCUACGGGAGGCAGCAGUGAGGAAUAUUGGUCAAUGGACGGAAGUCUGAACCAGCCAUGCCGCGUGCAGGAUGACGGCUCUAUGAGUUGUAAACUGCUUUUGUACGAGAAUAAUAGUUCUUACGUGUAGGGAUUUGAAUGUAUCGUACGAAUAAGGAUCGGCUAACUCCGUGCCAGCAGCCGCGGUAAUACGGAGGAUGCGAGCGUUAUCCGGAUUUAUUGGGUUUAAAGGGUGCGCAGGCGGCGAGUUAAGUCAGCGGUAAAAUGUCGGGGCGCAACCCCGACGAGCCGUUGAAACUGGCUUGCUAGAGUGGGCGAGAAGUAUGCGGAAUGCGUGGUGUAGCGGUGAAAUGCAUAGAUAUCACGCAGAACUCCGAUUGCGAAGGCAGCAUACCGGCGCCCAACUGACGCUCAGGCACGAAAGCGUGGGUAUCGAACAGGAUUAGAUACCCGUGUAGUC
rnacentral:rRNA from 1 species